GACGAACGCUGGCGGCGUGCUUAACACAUGCAAGUCGAACGAAGAGCGAUGGAAGCUUGCUUCUAUCAAUCUUAGUGGCGAACGGGUGAGUAACGCGUAAUCAACCUGCCCUUCAGAGGGGGACAACAGUUGGAAACGACUGCUAAUACCGCAUACGAUCUGACCUCGGCAUCGAGGAUAGAUGAAAGGUGGCCUCUACAUGUAAGCUAUCACUGAAGGAGGGGAUUGCGUCUGAUUAGCUAGUUGGAGGGGUAACGGCCCACCAAGGCGAUGAUCAGUAGCCCGUCUGAGAGGAUGAACGGCCACAUUGGGACUGAGACACGGCCCAGACUCCUACGGGAGGCAGCAGUGGGGAAUCUUCCGCAAUGGACGAAAGUCUGACGGAGCAACGCCGCGUGAGUGAUGACGGCCUUCGGGUUGUAAAGCUCUGUUAAUCGGGACGAAAGGCCUUUUUGCGAAUAGUGAGAAGGAUUGACGGUACCGGAAUAGAAAGCCACGGCUAACUACGUG
rnacentral:rRNA from 1 species